rnacentral:lncRNA from 1 species
CCCAGUUCUCAGGCGAGAGCCGCGGCUGACAGGGUCUGGGACAGAAGGAAAGCCCUCCAGCUCCCCCUUGGCCUCGCCCUUGCCGGAGCAGGGGGGCUCGGCGGGCGGGUCGCCGCCACCGCAGUAGGCGUUGUCGAAGAAACGGUCGAAGGCUUGAGGCAGGACGCUGUUCUUGUUGACUGAGGAGUAGAAGCCGGCGGGGGUUGCGUGCGGGGCGCUGGGGUGGUGGUGGCCGCCGUAGGAGCCUUCGUUUUUCAUGAGGAUCUCGGUGACGGUGGAAGGAGGCAGGCACUCCCGGUGCAUAAGCUCGUCGGCCGCCGCAUAGCAGGAGGAGUAGCUGUUCCGAUGGUGCCACUUGCCGGAUGGCUCCAGGCCGUAGGAGACCUCCCGGACCGGGGGCACUUGGGCCGAGUAGGGAUAGGAGAUCUGACGAGAGGGGGCCUGGGGCAGGAAGGAGGAGACCGUGGAGAACUCGGGCAUGUAGUAAGUGCAACUGGGCAGAUAGAGGUUGGAGGCGCAGCUCCCUCGCUCGCCGAAAUCUGCGCCCCUCUCCUUGCGCGACGGAGAGCAGAAGUUGCCCAGGUUGACCGAGUUAAACAUCGUUCUCCUCUCCUGCCGGCUCCGGAUGGAGGUUUUGGACCCGGUCUAGCGAGGGGGGAAAAUUUGGGAAGGCGAGAUGACGCGUUAUCCGUCUUAGUCUCUCUCUCUCUGAGCACGUGAUCCAAAGUAGAUAUUGUCAUAUAUCAGUUCGGAGCACUUCGCAGACGUAGGAGGGGUUCUCUCUUAGAGACACCGCCUGUUCACAAGAGUUUGAAGAAGUCCACUCUUUUCCUGGCCAGAGCUGGGUGUCAAGACUACCUUUCUGGAGUCCUUAGAGAGACUCCCGGAAGAGUAUCUGAAGUUUCCCAAAGCUAAUCAAUCCAAAAGGAAAAAGAAAAGAGAGGGGUGGGAAGGCAUGGGGUGAAAAACUUCAGGUGACACAAAGCAAAAAGAUUCCAGUCACCAAAAACAAAAACAAAAAAAAAUCUUUUGCCCCCAGCAAGAAUCAUUUGUUUGGGAUCUGUUCCAGCCUCCAGGCCCUGCCUUCUGCCUGCACAUUCUGCCCUGAUUUCCGGAACCUGGAAGCCUAGGCAGGCAGUGGGGAACUCUGACUCGCCUGUGCUCUGGAGCUUGAUCCGAAAGCUUCCACAGUGAGGACUGCUCCGUGGGGGUAAGAGAGCACCAGGCACUGAGGCCUGGGAGUUCCACAGACCAACACCCCUGCUCCUGGCGGCUCCCACCCGGGACUUAGACCCUCAGGUCCCUAAUAUCCCGGAGGUGCUCUCAAUCAGAAACAUCUUUCUUUGCUAGCUGCCCGGGUCCUGCUCCGCUUCGCAGUGGAAUGGAACGGAUUUAGAAGCCUGCAGUAGGGGAGUGGGGAGUGGAGAGAGGGAGCCCAGAGUUACAGACGGCGGCGAGAGGAAGGAGGGGCGUCUUUAUUUUUUUAAGGCCCCAAAGAGUCUGAUGUUUACAAGACCAGAAAUGCCACGGCCGCGUCCUGGCAGAGAAAAGGCUGAAAUGGAGGACCGGCGCCUUCCUUAUAAGUAUGCACAUUGGCGAGAGAAGUGCUGCAACCUAAACCAGCAAUUACACCCAAGCUCGUUGGGGCCUAAGCCAGUACCGACCUGGUAGAAAAAGCAACCACGAAGCUAGAGAGAGAGCCAGAGGAGGGAAGAGAGCGCCAGACGAAGGUGAAAGCGAACCACGCAGAGAAAUGCAGGCAAGGGAGCAAGGCGGCAGUUCCCGGAACAAACGUGGCAGAGGGCAAGACGGGCACUCACAGACAGAGGUUUAUGUAUUUUUAUUUUUUAAAAUCUGAUUUGGUGUUCCAUGAGGAAAAGGGAAAAUCUAGGGAACGGGAGUACAGAGAGAAUAAUCCGGGUCCUAGCUCGCCACAUGAACGCCCAGAGAACGCUGGAAAAACCUGAGCGGGUGCCGGGGCAGCACCCGGCUCGGGUCAGCCACUGCCCCACACCGGGCCCACCAAGCCCCGCCCCUCGCGGCCACCGGGGCUUCCUUGCUCUUCUUAUCAUCUCCAUCUUUAUGAUGAGGCUUGUUAACAAGACCAGAGAGCUGGCCAAGCACCUCUAUCUCAGCCGCGCCCGCUCAGCCGAGCAGCGGUCGGUGGGGGGACUGGGAGGCGCUAAUUAAUUGAUUCCUUUGGACUGUAAAAUAUGGCGGCGUCUACACGGAACCCAUGGACUCAUAAACAAUAUAUCUGUUGGGCGUGAGUGCACUGUCUCUCAAAUAAUUUUUCCAUAGGCAAAUGUCAGAGGGUUCUGGAUUUUUAGUUGCUAAGGAAAGAUCCAAAUGGGACCAAUUUUAGGAGGCCCAAACAGAGUCCGUUCAGUGUCAGAAAAUGCUUCCCCAAAGGGGUUGGGAGUGUGUUUUGUUGGAAAAAAGCUUGGGUUAUAGGAAAGCCUUUCCCUGCUACUUGUGUAGACCCAGCCCAAUUUAAGAAUUACAAGGAAGCGAAGGGGUUGUGUAGGCCGGAAGCCUCUCUGUCCCGGCUGGAUGCAGGGGACUUGAGCUGCUCCGGAAUUUGAGAGGAACAUAGAAGCAAAGGUCCAGCCUUUGCUUCGUGCUGAUUCCUAGACUUAAGAUUCAAAAACAAAUUUUUAAAAGUGAAACCAGCCCUAGCCUUUGGAAGCUCUUGAAGGUUCAGCACCCACCCAGGAAUCCACCUGCCUGUUACACGCCUCUCCAAGACACAGUGGCACCGCUUUUCUAACUGGCAGCACAGAGCAACUCUAUAAUAUGCUUAUAUUAGGUCUAGAAGAAUGCAUCUUGAGACACAUGGGUAACCUAAUUAUAUAAUGCUUGUUCCAUACAGGAGUGAUUAUGCAGUGGGACCCUGCUGCAAACGGGACUUUGCACUCUAAAUAUAGACCCCAGCUUGGGACAAAAGUUGCAGUAGAAAAAUAGACAUAGGAGAACACUUAAAUAAGUGAUGCAUGUAGACACAGAAGGGGUAUUUAAAAGACAGAAAUAAUAGAAGUACAGAAGAACAGAAAAAAAAUCAGCAGAUGGAGAUUACCAUUCCCAAUGCCUGAACUUCCUCCUGCUAUUAAGAUUGCUAGAGAAUUGUGUCUUAAACAGUUCAUGAACCCAGAAGAAUGCAAUUUCAAUGUAUUUAGUACACACACAGUAUGUAUAUAAACACAACUCACAGAAUAUAUUUUCCAUACAUUGGGUAGGUAUGCACUUUGUGUAUAUAUAAUAAUGUAUUUUCCAUGCAGUUUUAAAAUGUAGAUAUAUUAAUAUCUGGAUGCAUUUUCUGUGCACUGGUUUUAUAUGCCUUAUGGAGUAUAUACUCACAUGUAGCUAAAUAGACUCAGGACUGCACAUUCCUUGUGUAGGUUGUGUGUGUGUGGUGGUUUUAUGCAUAAAUAAAGUUUUACAUGUGGUGAAUAU